rnacentral:rRNA from 1 species
UACGGAGGGUGCUAGCGUUGUUCGGAAUCACUGGGCGUAAAGGGCGCGUAGGCGGCCAUUCAAGUCGGAGGUGAAAGCCCAGGGCUCAACCCUGGAAUUGCCUUCGAUACUGUCUGGCUAGAGACCGGAAGAGGUAAGUGGAACUGCGAGUGUAGAGGUGAAAUUCGUAGAUAUUCGCAAGAACACCAGUGGCGAAGGUGGCUUACUGGUCCGGUUCUGACGCUGAGGCGCGAAAGCGUGGGGAGCAAACAGG